AUUGAACGCUGGCGGCAGGCCUAACACAUGCAAGUCGAGCGGAUGAAGGGAGCUUGCUCCUGGAUUCAGCGGCGGACGGGUGAGUAAUGCCUAGGAAUCUGCCUGGUAGUGGGGGAUAACGUCCUGAAACGGGCGCUAAUACCGCAUACGUCCUGAGGGAGAUAGUUGGGGAUCUUCGGACCUCACGCUAUCUGAUGAGCCUAGGUCGGAUUAGCUAGUUGGUGGGGUAAAUGCCUACCAAGGCGACCAUCCGUAACUGGUCUGAGAGGAUGAUCAGUCACACUGGAACUGAGACACGGUCCAGACUCCUACGGGAGGCAGCAGUGGGGAAUAUUGGACAAUGGGCGAAAGCCUGAUCCAGCCAUGCCGCGUGUGUGAAGAAGGUCUUCGGAUUGUAAAGCACUUUAAGUUGGGAGGAAGGGCAGUAAGUUAAUACCUUGCUGUUUUGACGUUACCAACAGAAUAAGCACCGGCUAACUUCGUG
rnacentral:rRNA from 1 species